GUCGAACGAGAAAGGGUUCUUCGGGAUCUGAGUAAAGUGGCGCACGGGUGAGUAACGCGUAGAUAACCUGUCCUGAUGUACAGGAUAACCCACCGAAAGGUGGACUAAUACUGUAUACGUUUUUCUAUCACAAGGUAGAGAAGGAAAGAUGGCCUCUGAUAUAAGCUAUCGCACUUGGAGGGGUCUGCGUACCAUUAGCUUGUUGGUGGGGUAAAGGCCUACCAAGGCAACGAUGGUUAGCGGGUCUGAGAGGAUGAUCCGUCACACUGGCACUGGAACACGGGCCAGACUCCUACGGGAGGCAGCAGUGAGGAAUAUUGCGCAAUGGGGGAAACCCUGACGCAGCGACGCCGCGUGAGUGAGGAAGGCCUUCGGGUCGUAAAGCUCUGUCAGAAGGGAAGAAGUGCAUAAAGGAUAAUACUCUUUAUGUUUGACGGUACCUUCAAAGGAAGCACCGGCUAACUCCGUGCCAGCAGCCGCGGUAAUACGGAGGGUGCAAGCGUUGUUCGGAAUUACUGGGCGUAAAGGGCGCGCAGGCGGUUUGGUAAGUCAGAUGUGAAAGCCCAUGGCUUAACUGUGGAAGUGCAUUUGAAACUGUCAGACUUGAGUACCAGAGGGNAAAGUGGAAUUCCCGGUGUANAGGUGAAAUUCGUAAAUAUCGGGAGGAAUACCGGUGGCGAAGGCGACUUUCUGGCUGGAUACUGACGCUGAGGCGCGAAAGCGUGGGGAGCAAACAGGAUUAAAUACCCUGGUAGUC
rnacentral:rRNA from 1 species